rnacentral:ribozyme from 1 species
AGGAAAAAAAAAAAAAAAAAAAAAAAAAAAAAAA